rnacentral:rRNA from 1 species
GACGAACGCUGGCGGCGUGCUUAACACAUGCAAGUCGAACGCUGAAGGCCUGGCUUUUGUUGGGUUGGAUGAGUGGCGAACGGGUGAGUAACACGUGAGUAACCUGCCCUCUUCUUUGGGAUAACGCCCGGAAACGGGUGCUAAUACUGGAUAUUCACUGAUCUUCGCAUGGGGGUUGGUGGAAAGGUUUGUUCUGGUGGGGGAUGGGCUCGCGGCCUAUCAGCUUGUUGGUGGGGUGAUGGCCUACCAAGGCUUUGACGGGUAGCCGGCCUGAGAGGGUGACCGGUCACAUUGGGACUGAGAUACGGCCCAGACUCAUACGGGAGGCAGCAGUGGGGAAUAUUGCACAAUGGGCGAAAGCCUGAUGCAGCGACGCCGCGUGAGGGAUGGAGGCCUUCGGGUUGUAAACCUCUUUCGCUCAUGGUCAAGCCGCAACUGUGGGUUGUGGUGAGGGUAGUGGGUAAAGAAGCGCCGGCUAACUACGUG